AUUGAACGCUGGCGGCAUGCCUUACACAUGCAAAUCGAACGGUAACGGGCCUUCGGGUGCCGACGAGUGGCGAACGGGUGAGUAAUACAUCGGAACGUGCCCGAUCGUGGGGGAUAACGAGGCGAAAGCUUUGCUAUACCGCAUACGAUCUACGGAUGAAAGCAGGGGACCGCAAGGCCUUGCGCGGACGGGGCGGCCGAUGGCAGAUUAGGUAGUUGGUGGGAUAAAAGCUUACCAAGCCGACGAUCUGUAGCUGGUCUGAGAGGAUGAUCAGCCACACUGGGACUGAGACACGGCCCAGACUCCUACGGGAGGCAGCAGUGGGGAAUUUUGGACAAUGGGCGCAAGCCUGAUCCAGCCAUGCCGCGUGCAGGAUGAAGGCCUUCGGGUUGUAAACUGAUUUUGUACGGAACGAAAAGCCUUCUUUUAAUACAGGAGGGUCAUGACGGUACCGGAAGAAUAAGCACCGGCUAACUACGUG
rnacentral:rRNA from 1 species